rnacentral:rRNA from 1 species
AACGAACGCUGGCGGCAGGCUUAACACAUGCAAGUCGAACGCAUCCUUCGGGGUGAGUGGCAGACGGGUGAGUAACGCGUGGGAACGUGCCCUUCAGUUCGGGAUAACCCAGGGAAACUUGGGCUAAUACCGGAUACGUGCGAGAGCAGAAAGAUUUAUCGCUGAAGGAUCGGCCCGCGUCUGAUUAGCUAGUUGGUGAGGUAAUGGCUCACCAAGGCGACGAUCAGUAGCUGGUCUGAGAGGAUGAUCAGCCACAUUGGGACUGAGACACGGCCCAAACUCCUACGGGAGGCAGCAGUGGGGAAUAUUGGACAAUGGGCGCAAGCCUGACCCAGCCAUGCCGCGUGAGUGAUGAAGGCCUUAGGGUUGUAAAGCUCUUUCGUCCGGGACGAUAAUGACGGUACCGGAAGAAGAAGCCCCGGCUAACUUCGUGCCAGCAGCCGCCGUAACAC